rnacentral:tRNA from 1 species
GGUAUUAUAAUUUAUUAUAAUAUUAAAUUUUAAAUAGUAUGGUAAAAAUAAUUUAUAAAUUAUUUUUUAGUUUUAAAAAAAUAUAAAAAAUAGUAAAUUGAAUGUUUAUGAAAAAAAAUAAUUGUUUAUGGAAAUAUAAUAUAACUUUUAGAAUAUAAAUUAAGUUAAAAUAUUUAUAGAUAAAAUAAUAUAAAGUAAUUAAAUUAUAUUAAAUCU